rnacentral:rRNA from 1 species
GUGGGGAAUAUUGGACAAUGGGCGCAAGCCUGAUCCAGCCAUGCCGCGUGAGUGAUGAAGGCCUUAGGGUUGUAAAGCUCUUUCAGUGGGGACGAUAAUGACGGUACCCACAGAAGAAGCCCCGGCUAACUUCGUGCCAGCAGCCGCGGUAAUACGAAGGGGGCUAGCGUUGUUCGGAUUUACUGGGCGUAAAGCGCACGUAGGCGGAUCGUUAAGUCGGGGGUGAAAUCCUGGAGCUCAACUCCAGAACUGCCUUCGAUACUGGCGAUCUUGAGUCCGGAAGAGGUGAGUGGAACUCCUAGUGUAGAGGUGGAAUUCGUAGAUAUUAGGAAGAACACCAGUGGCGAAGGCGGCUCACUGGACUGGUAUUGACGCUGAGGUGCGAAAGCGUGGGGAGCAAACAGGAUUAGAAACCCUGGUAGUCC